rnacentral:rRNA from 1 species
CUCCUCUUGUUAAAUAAGAGGUACCGUCUGCUCAAUGCAUAUUGUAAAUAGCCGCAGUAUUCUGACUGUGCUAAGGUAGCAUAAUCAUUAGUCUUUUAAUUGAAGGCUGGUAUGAAUGACGAGACGAGAAAGUAGCUGUCUCUAAGAUAAAUUUUCGAAUUUUACUUCUAAGUGAAAAGGCUUAGAUUUUUUUGAAGGACGAUCAGACCCUUUGGAGCUUUAUUUAUUUCAAAGUCUUAAUUUGUGUUAGAUAAUUAGAUUAAAAAUAAAUUCUGUUGGGGCGACAGGGAGUAAAAAAUAACACUCUUUUUUAAAAACAAUUAUUGUUGGAAAAUUGAUCCUUAGUGAAAGAUUAGAAGACUAAGUUACCCUAGGGAUAACAGCGUAAUCUUUUUGGAGAGUUCUAAUCGAUAAAAAGGUUUGCGACCUCGAUGUUGGAUUAAGAGAUUAGCAAGGUGCAGAAGUUUUGUUAAAGAGUGCUGUUCGACUUU